GGAUCAAUUUAUUGGUCGUGCCAACGGUACGUACUGGUACAAUUGGUUUCUCCCUUCUGACGAAGCAUGAUGUCAUUAAUUUGAUGUCGUGGGGAAUCAGGACUGUUACUUUGAAAAAAUUAGAGUGUUUAAAGCAGGCUUUGGCUUGAAUACAUUAGCAUGGAAUAAUGAAAUAGGACGUUUGAUCUUAUUUCGUUGGUUUCUAAGAUCGACGUAAUGAUUAAUAGGGAUAGUUGGGGGCAUUAGUAUUCAAUUGUCAGAGGUGAAAUUCUUGGAUUUAUUGAAGACUAACUACUGCGAAAGCAUUUGCCAAGGAUGUUUUCAUUAAUCAAGAACGAAAGUUAGGGGAUCGAAGACGAUCAGAUACCGUCGUAGUCUUAACCAUAAACUAUGCCGACUAGGGAUCGGAUGAUGUUAAUUUUUUAAUGACUCAUUCGGCGCCUUACGGGAAACCAAAGUGUUUGGGUUCCGGGGGGAGUAUGGUCGCAAGGCUGAAACUUAAAGGAAUUGACGGAAGGGCACCACCAGGGGUGGAGCCUGCGGCUUAAUUUGACUCAACACGGGGAAACUCACCAGGUCCAGACAUAGUAAGGAUUGACAGAUUGAGAGC
rnacentral:rRNA from 1 species